CGUGUGUUUUUUCGCCCGCAGGUUUCGCCGAGCGACGCGGGACGCGACGAAGGCCUCCUGCUGCGGCUGCUGACGACGCUGAGCGAACACGGGGCCCGGCGCUCGCACACGCGUGACGCCGACACGCAGACGCUCGGGGACGCGAGGGACGCGCUCGCGGCGAAGCUGGCGCAGGUGGACGAGGCCUUCGCGAGCUCCCGCCGCCCAAGCCCGGCGACGCGGGACC